rnacentral:rRNA from 1 species
GACGAACGCUGGCGGCGUGCUUAACACAUGCAAGUCGAACGGAAAGGCCCUGCUUUUGUGGGGUGCUCGAGUGGCGAACGGGUGAGUAACACGUGAGUAACCUGCCCUUGACUUUGGGAUAACUUCAGGAAACUGGGGCUAAUACCGGAUAGGCGCUCCUGCUGCAUGGUGGGGGUUGGAGAGUUUCGGCGGUUGGGGAUGGAUUCGCGGCUUAUCAGCUUGUUGGUGGGGUAGUGGCUUACCAAGGCUUUGACGGGUAGCCGGCCUGAGAGGGUUACCGGCCACAUUGGGACUGAGAUACGGCCCAGACUCCUACGGGAGGCAGCAGUGGGGAAUAUUGCACAAUGGGCGGAAGCCUGAUGCAGCAACGCUGCGUGCGGGAUGACGGCCUUCGGGUUGUAAACCGCUUUCGCCUGUGACGAAGCGUGAGUGACGGUAAUGGGUAAAGAAGCACCGGCUAACUACGUG